AUACGGAGGGUGCAAGCGUUAUUCGGAAUCACUGGGCGUAACGGACGCGUAGGCGGGUUGGCAAGUCAGAUGUGAAAUCCUACAGCUUAACUGUAGAACUGCAUUUGAAACUGCUAACCUAGAGUAUGGGAGGGGGAGAUGGAAUUAGUGGUGUAGGGGUAAAAUCCGUAGAUAUCACUAGGAAUACCGAAAGCGAAGGCGAUCUCCUGGAACAUAACUGACGCUAAGGCGUGAAAGCGUGGGGAGCAAACAGGAUUAGAAACCCUAGUAGUCC
rnacentral:rRNA from 1 species